UGAAGCCAGCACAGAUCAUGGAGUCUCGGACACGAUCACCCCAGAAUUUCUUCUGCCUGCAGGUCUUGAAGUCAAUGAUGGGAAGACGGGCUUGAUUCAGGGCUUCUGCCAGAGACACAUUCUCUUUCCCACCUGAAAUCUUUUCCCCUCUUUUCCCCUUUCCUCCACUCACCUCGGGUGUCUCCCCAGCCUGUGACCCAGCAGUAGUGUCCCGGGUUGAGGCUGGUCUGCUUGCGCGGCAGGCAGGCGUAGCGGAUGAAGUUUGAAGGGAUGAUGUCUGUGGCAGCCUUCACCAGGGCGAUGUCGUAGUCCAGCUCGCUGUGAGCGGGGUAACGGAAGUUCUCGUGCCGGUAGAUUCUCUUCACGGGGAAAACCCUCUCUGCCUUCUCUGAGCGCUUCAGCUGGUGCUUCCCCAGGACAAUCCUCCAACUCCCAGCAUCCUCAGCUUUACCCCUGAGAGACCAAAAAAAUUGUUAAAUGAGCAGCAGUAAGGACCCAGUUCUUGUGGAUGAGAGUUCCUCCACAGACAUGAAUGUAAUGUUUACUUCCCCUGGGACGAACCUAUGAGAGACAACCAGACAGCCUCUUCAAUGAUGUGAGAUGAUUUUACUGGCCAGCUUAGAGAUGGAGGAGGAGCUUGUGCUGUGGCUGUCGUCCGGGGGUGAGUGUGUAUGCAGCUGCAGGCAGGGAUGCCUUGCUCAACAGCAGCGGCAGCAGCUGAGAUAGAAGGAGGAGCAGAGGAGGUCCUGGUACAGCCAUCGUCCUUCACAGAAUCACCGGCCGGCACACAUCCCAGGCUAUUUAUACCAGACAGCAAGCACAUGCUGCAUACAUACAUACACAGGUACACAUACAGUACACACACACAACAGCACACCUCCAGGGACAAUGAGCUGUGUCACAACAAAGGCCGAGCGCUGGAUUGUUCUCCUGCAGCUGUGAGUUUCCACUGCCGCUGAGAAAAAGGGGAUUUCGGGGAGUCCUAUCAGCACUUUCACAUACAUAUAGUAUGCUCACAGUACACUAACAUGCACACAGGACAAAGGCAAAACAGCACUGUA